rnacentral:miRNA from 1 species
CAUUUUAAGGAUCGUGUGGGU